rnacentral:tRNA from 1 species
GUCCAGUGGUAAAGCAUGCGAGUCGUGAUUAGGGGGCGUCGGUUCGAGUCCUGGUC